rnacentral:rRNA from 1 species
AAUCAACGCUGGCGGCGUGCCUAACACAUGCAAGUCGAACGCGAAAGCCCCGCAAGGGGUAAGUAGAGUGGCAAACGGGUGAGUAACACGUGGGUGACCUGCCUUCGAGUGGGGGAUAACGUCCCGAAAGGGACGCUAAUACCGCAUGACAUCCUGCUUUUGAAAAAGCGGAGAUCAAAGCUGGGGAUCGCAAGACCUAGCGCUUGAAGAGGGGCCCGCGCCUGAUUAGCUAGUUGGUGAGGUAACGGCUCACCAAGGCGACGAUCAGUAUCCGGCCUGAGAGGGCGGACGGACACACUGGGACUGAGACACGGCCCAGACUCCUACGGGAGGCAGCAGUGGGGAAUUGUUCGCAAUGGGCGCAAGCCUGACGACGCAACGCCGCGUGGAGGACGAAGAUCUUCGGGUCGUAAACUCCUGUCGAGCGGGACGAACGCUUCGCGGAUGAAUAAUCCGCGGAAUUGACGGUACCGCUAAAGGAAGCCCCGGCUAACUCCGU